AAAUUGAAGAGUUUGAUCAUGGCUCAGAUUGAACGCUGGCGGCAGGCCUAACACAUGCAAGUCGAACGGUAACAGGAAGAAGCUUGCUUCUUUGCUGACGAGUGGCGGACGGGUGAGUAAUGUCUGGGAAACUGCCUGAUGGAGGGGGAUAACUACUGGAAACGGUAGCUAAUACCGCAUAACGUCGCAAGACCAAAGAGGGGGAUCUUCGGGCCUCUUGCCAUCGGAU
rnacentral:rRNA from 1 species